GGUUGAUAAUGGUAUGUCAGUGAAUACUAACCUGUGUGUGUGUUCCUGUUCCUAAGACCUGCUUCUGACCAGCAUUCUGAGUGUGGUGGCAGCUCUGCUGGUUCUCAUGGUGGUUGUGUUGGCAGCUGUGGUUUGUGUGGUGAUCAAGUAGGCCAGUUGAGAAAAAGUUCCCAUUUUACAACUGCGACCUGGCCGAGGAAGAAGAAGAGACAGUUGUCUCACCAAGUGUCCAUCUACAACCCCAACGGGACCAGCUUCCUGCCAGAUCACAACAGGAGGUUCCCCAAAUCACGAAAAGAGAACGAGUCCCACAUCUAUGCCUCGAUCGAGGACACGCUUGUAUACAGCCAUCUCCUGCGAGACGAGGCAGAGAUGGGUGUCUAUGGAGACCAGGCUGUGGAUGUGUACCAGAGCUUUACUGGGCCCACAGAGACAGAGCCCCUCUCUCUGGGGACAGUCCAGAGGUGAGCAUCUACCAGCCUUUUGUGCUCCCAUCCCAUAUUGCCCCACCCAUCCCCAAUGGACCCUUAAGUCAAGCCCAGCAGCCUAUGGUGGACAACGAGCUGUGUGGCUCCAGAAGCAAUGGUGACACACAUGCACAGUCUCAACCUAACAAUAUGAACACAGAGCAGGCUCCAACGGUAGAGCCAGAGGCUCAUGACUGAAAGGGAGAGAACUGUAGGUUGGGGGUAUAUGCCAAGCACAGUACCAUAGCCCUUCUAUUCAUAUUUUAUCAAGUUUCCUGGCAUGUACAGUACCAGUCAAAAGUUUGGACACACCUACUCAAUCAAGGCUUUUUCUUUAUUUUGCUAUUUUCUGCACUGUAGAAUAAUAGUGAAGACAUCAAAGUUUCUUCAAGUGCAGUCGCAAAAAAACAUCAAGCGCUAUGAUGAAACUGGCUCUCGAGGACUGCAACAGGAAAGGAAGGCCCAGAGUUACCUCUGCUGCAGAGGAUAGGUUCAUCAGCCUCAGAAAUCAGUAAUUAACUGCACCUCAGAUUGCAGUCCAAAUAAAUCAAGUUCAAGGAACAGAUACAUCACAACAUCAACUGUUCAGAGGAGACUGUGUGAAUCAGGCCUUCAUGGUCGAAUUGCUGCAAAGAAACCACUAUUAAAUGACACCAAUAAUAAGAUGAGACUUGCUUGGGCCAAGAAACAAGAGCAAUGGACAUUAGACCUGUGGAAAUCUGUCCUUUGAUCUGAUGAGUCCAAAUGUGAGAUUUUUGGUUCCAACCACUGUGUCUGAGAGACGCAGAGUAGGUGAACGGAUGAUCUCUGCAUGUGUGGUUCCCACCAUGAAGCAUGAAGGAGGAGGUGUGAUGGUUGGGGGUGCUUUGCUGUUGACACGGUCAGUGAUUUUAUUUAAAAUUCAAGGCACCCUUAACCAGCAUGGCUACCACAGCAUUCUGAACUGAUACGCCAUCCCAUCUGGUUUGCGCUUAGUGGGACUAUCAUUUGUUUUUCAACAGGACAAUGACCCAAAACACACCUCCAGGCUAUGUAAGGGCUAUUUGACCAGGAAGGAGAGUGAUGGAGUGCUGAAUCAGAUGACCUGGCCUCCACAAUCACCUGACAACAACCCAAUUGAGAUGGUUUGGGAUAAGUUGGACUGCAGAGUGAAGGAAAACCAGCCAACAAGUGCUCAGCAUUGAUGGGAACUCCUUCAAUAUUGUUGGAAAAGGAUUCCCGGUGAAGCUGGUUGAGAGAAUGCCAAGAGUGUGCAACGCUGUCAUCAAGGCAAAGGGUGUCUACAUUGAAGAAUCUAACAUAGAUUUUGAUUUGUUUAACACUUUUUGGGGUACUACAUGAUUCCAUAUGUGUUAUUUCAUAGUUUGUAGAAUGUAGAAAAUAGUAAAAAUGAAGAAAAACCCUUGAAUGAGUAGGUGUGCCCAAACGUUUGACUGGUACUCUAUGUGAUUCACUGGAAUAUAUGAUAAUCUAUUGUCUGUCAAAGAAGCCCACAUUCUUUGAUACAGUUGAUAAUGUCAUGUGUUUUGGCUGUGGGCACCUUUGCACUGCAUAGGGAAAGUGUAACUUCUUAUUUGAGCAGCACCCAUGCUCAGUUUUUAUGUAAAAAUGGUUUGCUUUCAAUUUAUUUGAAGGGUAUGUAAAGAAUGUUGAUUUUUCACUGAAUGUUGUAAUUUAAAAAAAAUGUAGUUUGAACAGUAAGGACCAGUUUCAUUGAUGUAGAAAAACCUAUUCUUGGACUAAAAAGCACUUAGUUUCAGUUGAUUUCUCAGUCCUUUUUUAAGGAAUAGGUUUAAUCUGGGUCCUGGAAACCAACCCUCAACUUUUAAAUAAUCUUACUUUUGAAUGAAGGAUAAUGGAGAUGAACAUACUUUGUGUAUUUGUAUAUUUAAUUCAGUUUACAGUGAAUGUGUAGGAAGAUAACGUAAAGGUAAAAAUUGAUGGUCAUAAAUCAACAAAAAAAAUCACACACACACUAAAAUCAUUGUUUAUUCGUCAUAUGCACAAGAUACAGGAUAAACGGUGAAAUGAAAUGCUUACUUGCGAGCUUCCUCAACAUUGCAGGAAUAAUAAAAUGAGUGGUAAUUCUAGAGCACUCCAAAAUACUGUCAGUAGUUUAAAAAAUAAGUUUAAAAAUAUAUACUGUGAAUAUAUGUCAGUGUACUGUUAUAUUUAAAUAUUUGUUUACCUUUAUUUAAAACGGCAAGUCAGUUAAGAGCAAAUUCUUAUUUACAAUGAUGGCCUAGAAAUAGUGGGUUAACUGCCUUGUUGAGGGGCAGAAAGACAGAUGUUUACUUUGUCAGCUCGGGGAUUCGAUCUAGCAACUUUUCAGUUACUGGCCCAAAACUCUAACCUCUGGGCUACCUGCCGCCCUUACAAGUAGUAAGUGAAUAGUGACUAGUUAGGAGCAAGUUAGAGAGAGAAGUGGGAAUGCAGAGAUUCUGUGCAAAUAGUCUUAAGGUGCAGGUGGACGGCAGCCAGGGGCUAGCUGUUCAACAGACUUAUGGCCAAGAGGUAGAAACUGUCUCUGAUGCUCUUGUACCGCAUGCCAGGCGGUAAGGGAGUAAACAGUCCAUGUUUGGGGUGGCUGAAGUCUCUGGAAAUCUUCCGGGCUUACCUCAGACACCGCCUGGAGUAAAUUUCCUGUAGGGCUAGGAGCUCGCCACCAGUUAUGGACUGGGCAGUUUUCAUCACCCUCUGUAGAUCCACGUUCGAGGGCGGUGCAGCUGCUGUGGCAGGCGAUGAUGGAGUCAGUCAUGAUACUCUUGAUGCAGCUCCAAGGUCCGCUAGAGGGCACUAUUAUUAUCCUGACGUCAAAUAAUAGCGGCCUCUAGCGGACAUUGGGUCAGCUCUCAAUGGUGCAUCUCUCACACACACACACAAAAUGGCCUUUUCUCAUUUGGGUAAAAGUCCAUCCUCUUUCCUCCAUCCUCUCUCCUCUGUGACCCGGAAACCGAUAAGUGGUUGAGUGGUCAAGGAGAGUGCCAAUUCAGUAGUAAGCAAAUGGAAGAGUGUCCUCUUCUCGAUAGCCACCUUUCAUCGGAGGUUAGUCAUGUGUAUCCUAUCUGUAGUCCUUCGCGGAAGAGUUUUGAAAUUUGCCAAACUCCUUUGAAUCAGCUAUUGUUUUCUCGAAGGACAAAAGCAUGUAAACGUUUAAAAACGACAUGCUGCUUAUCCUUUUAUCUUUAAAAUGGCUUGCACAGCUGGCUAAAUUUGUUUUUAUCACUUUACACAUUUAUUUUACGAUUCCACCCCCUGUAAACGCAAUUUGCCUGAUGACGUGCAGUGGAGAAGGACUAUCCCAUUUCAAACGAGCACAUUUCCGUUCACGUUCCCUCUCCUUGCCUCCUCUCCUCCUCCUUAUGUCACGCUCGUCGAAAUGAUGAGACCAAGGCGCAGCGUCAAUAGAGUUCCACAUAUUUUUAAUCAUGUACCCACCCUAGUCCCACCCUGACCUAACCAAAAUAUAGAGAAAACAGAGAUAUCUAAGGUUAGGGCGUGACACCUUUGACCUUUUUUAAACGGAGGGGACAGAGGAUCUGUGGUAUAGAGGUGGUAUACUCAAAUUUUGUCCCAAAUUUCCCUAAUUAUAAAUCCCAUAUCGGUCUUUCACAGUCAGGCCAAUCCAAGCAAUUAGGCUGUCAACUGAAUCAGAAUAUUUACAGGGUUCUGUGAAAAGUCAUAUUUUUGUAAUAGAAAAACCACAAAAUGGGAUGUUCUAAGUCCAUAACAAUGCUUAAACCACAUCAUGAAACCAGUUUUAAGGAUUGGGAAAAAUUGAAUAAUUUUUUAUUUCUGAGUGUAGUUACCCUUUAAUUCAAGUGUGCAGGCACCUAGCAUUGUUUGGCUAGCUUGUUUCUGUAGCACAUGAGAUGGAGUUUGCAAAACAAAUAACCACUGGAUUGAUGCAAAUAAUCAUGAUAUCAUUCUGCCAUUGGCUACUUUGUAGCUAGUUUUUGGGAAAGCCUUUACAUCUACCAGAAGACAGUUAGGCCUAUCAUUAGCAUUGCUAUAUUUUUCCCCGUUGCUUAAUUGUUUGAAACCUGGACAUUUUACUUCAUAUUAUGAAGCAGGUCUUACCUUUCUUCAAA